GGGAAACAAAGCCUACGUCCUCAGCUAUAUUGAAGCUGCAAAGAUAAGAGUUGAUGUACUCCUAGUUUGGAGAUUACUGACAUGUUGCAUCGUUACUGGCCAAAAUCUGGAGCUGGGGGUAGGCGAUUACCGUUACACUACCACCACAGGAGACGACCUUCUUGUCCAACUGCUUGCUCUGGCGAUUGUAGUGACCCUUGUUUUCCUGGUGCUACUUAUCGAAGUAUCCUACAAAUUGUUCAUCAUCUGGAGGAUUGAAGCGUAUGCGGCGAAAAUGCCGAACUAGAUGGCGCUGCUCUGAAUAUUUCCUGCCGUUCGUCAUUCGCUUUGUUGUUCACAAAUCUUUUGAUGAUUCUCCUGCUUCAAUGUUCAAG